GAUAUUGCCGGAAAAGCCGUGUUGUAAAGGCUGCGUCUGUUGUGCUGCGUCUGGAGGGGCAGCUUUGCGGCUUAGCAUGUCGGUUUUCUACAAAUACCAUUUCUACUGCAGAAAUGCCUCGGGUGCGUGUGGAGUCCAAAAUAGAACGUCUAGACAAACUCCUACUGUCUGACCUUUGAUGUGCUUCCUCAUCCACCCGGCCGUGCCAAGCAGAUCGGCCCUUGAGAGGUGAUGAAAAACCUGCUAAAUAGCACAGAGAAGCCCCUCCUGUGGGGUUCGUGGCAUUCACCCGAGGAGCUCACUCGGGCCACACUGUCGGCCCACAGAGGGGAAGCCAAGGGAAGAGUCUAAUGACUCACCUCAGGCCUCAGAGUGAGCUGCACCAGGCGUUCCCACCACUAAGUCCACAGUCUCUUCAGGUUCUGCCUGACGCUCUCAACUAUGGUUCUCUUAAUAAAGAAUUUCUGUGGAGAAAA